rnacentral:snRNA from 1 species
AGUAGGAGGGCGCGGCGGUCGCUGCAA